rnacentral:tRNA from 1 species
UCCCUGGUGGCUCAGUGGUAAAGAAUCUGCCUGCGGUGCAGGAGACCCAGGUUCGAUCCCUGGGUUGGGAA